CCAAUGCCAUGACUACUGGUCCCUAAAUUCAUGGCAACUACCACUGUCCCAACCGCGAUCCUAAGCUUUCGACGAUGUACUUCACCCCCCUGGUUUGAGCCUAAAAAAAUUGUUUUUGAGAAGAAAAUCUCACUGAAAAUCGUGAUAUUUUUCUUCCAAUUUGCUUGAUUUACAACGGAUACUGUAUUUUUACGCCGCUCGUAUGUGUGAGAAUUCUCCAAAGUCCAAACAAGAACGAGAAGAAUAUAUUUUUAUUCACCGGUAAGAUUUUAUACAGUUAUUUGAAUAUUUCUAGAUUCUAGCUUGCUGUGUGCCUGUGUCUGCUUGCUUUUAUAUUAAACUCGAUAGAAAAAAAAUUAAGAAAUGUACGAAGCACAAACCAUAGGGAAAUGGUUGGGAAUCCUGUAAAUUUUAUUGAUUUUAAUACCACUAGUCUCUGUGUUUUCAUAGCCAUAGGGUUUUAAAACCUGCUUAUAGUGUCAAAAUCCUCACUGUGCACUUACUGUAUAUUUAUUUUAUAGCACUACAGGCUUUUAUAGUAUUAUAGAGAUAUAAACAAAUUUUCCCUGACAAACUUUGAGUGAUAUAUAUAGCCUUGCCAGCGGUUCUUGUAGCAGUUAUAUAUAAUGACUGUGUAUACUGUAGUUAUAUUAUUUAUCACUUCUACAACAGGCAGGUGAAAAUUAAAUUGUUUUGCUGAAUAUGCUGGGCCAAUUAAAGGCCAUUAAAGAUAUCAAGUUCAAACCAUUCAAAUGAUUCAAUACCCAUUGCAAUCAAGCAAUGACCAUAAACCUAAGCCCCAAUGACAGACCCCAAAUAUAAGCCCUCCUGUGUAGAAAUGCACCACAAGGGUGCAUCGGGGUGCAAUGCAACUCAAUGGGUUAACUAUAGGCACAUGCGCAGAUAGGCCAGUUAACCCAUUAAGCGCCAGCGCUCUCCCCUUGACGAGUAAAAUCGUCUGGCAUUAGACAGAGUAAAAUAUCAAAGUAGGGUGCAUCAGGGUGCAAUGCAACUCAAUGGGUUAAAUCCCUCUGUGUGAGCCCAUAAACUUAUUUUUGGACAGGUAUUUUUUAAUGCAGCGAAGGGGAUUCCAACAGCUCAGCCCAUCAAAAAUGCUAUUGAAUGAAUAUAAGCAUUGGUUCCAGAAAAGAUCCACACUCCCCACUUUCUGCCGUCCGGAGGGGGAGGGGAGAAUAAAUUGUUUCUGAUAAUUGUAAAUGUAUUAGGACAUCCGAAGGAGGUAGGGGAGUUAACUUCCAAUUUCCUCUGUGGGGGUGGUAUGGAUGUUUUCUGGAAUAACCCAUUCAGAGGUUUACAUGGUAUUCAUCUGCCCAACAUAGUAUGUCAGAGUUAUAUAAAUUCCACAGCCAUUAGAGUUGUAGACUUGUAGUUAGGUAUUUGUAGGAAUGAAGGGUGUCUACGUGCCAGCCAAUGCAUAUUUGCUGCCAAUCAAAUUGCCGAUGAUUGAUAACAUGUACAUUUGAGAGCAUCUUCAGUGGUGGUAUCCCCAGUAUUGGAGUAGAGCCCAACUGUUCAGUUAGACAUUAUUUACGAACUUCCUCUCUUAUAUCUGCAUAGAUUAUUUUUGAUAUAUUGUAAUGUAAAAUGAAACUUUGGGAUAGUUAAGAAAUACAAUUAAUCCAUUUAUAAUGGACAAGAUUGUCCCCUUAACAAGUAAAAUUGCCUGGCAUAUUAGACGGACUUAUAAAUGACAUACCAUAUUAAUUUUUAAAACCAUUAGGUUGCAUUGUGCCCUAAUGCACCCUACUUUAUUAUUUUACUCUGUCUAACACCAGACAAUUUUACUUGUGAACUGGAGAGCCACUCAGUGCUCAAUGGGUUAACAUGUCAAUGUCUAACUGAACCGUCUGGGCUCUGCUCUACAGUAAAUUUCCUUGUAAUUGGAGUCUGGGAUCUGUGACCCAAUACAUCUUCAGUGUCUUCAUAUGGUACUGUCACUAUUUUAUAUGUAUAAUGGACAUUUUUCAUUUAGGGUGAAUCUGAUGUACAAGUCAUGUGGACAAGAAAUUAAUACAAGUUCUUUUGAAUGUUCAAAUAGCAAGGGUUAAGUGGUGCACUAGCUCUUGCCAGACUUAACUGCAUGCCAGAACUAACAAUUACUUUUCUCUAUAAUUUUGUGGGAAUGUGUUAUUUGUUUAUGUAAUAUGUUCUACAAACAGCCAAAGAAUAACCCAUGAGCUCUAGUUUUAAUUUUUUAAUAAUACUGUUAAGUAUUACAUGUAACGUGAUUGUACAGUUAGGUUUUAAUAUUAUUUAUUGCUAAUGGGUCAUUCCAGAAAACAUCCAUACCACCCCCACAGAGGAAAUUACGUACAUUUACUAUUAUCAGAAACAAUUUUUUCCCUCCUCCCCCUCCGGACGGCAUUAAUUUCCUCCGUGGGGGGAGUGUGGAUCUUUUCUGGAACGUCCCAACUGGAUAAUUAUUCUUUAACCAUGCAAGUUGAAUUAAAAUAAAUAAUAUACAAAAUCAAGCAAAUUUUUGUCUUUAAUUAAUUUUGAAACAAUUAAUACAUGUUUCUUGGAGGUUCACUAACAACAGUGGCAUGAACUCAUUGUGGGAACAUUCUGCAAUAAGCAAGAAUAGAUUAUAGCCAUAGGGGCUAUCAAUAUGGAAGCCAGGCUGGCCUGGUUGGCAGAACUAUUUAUUAUUUCCAGAUUAAUUUCCUUGCCGACACAAUUCAGUCUAUUGUUUUGACAAUAUUUCCAUGACCAAUGUUGUAUUGACUUUACUUUGACCAGGUCAGUCCAGUUAGUGUUUAUAUCCAUAAAAUAUCUUCCCAGUGUAACUGAGAGCUUGCCUUCUUCAGGUGAGAUCUGAAAACUGAGCCAGUCAGGUUGUCCAUACAAUUUGAAAGGAAUUUCCACUAUAAAAAUAACCACACAGUGAGUGAGACCUUGCUUACUGGCCUAGGGCUAGCUGUCACAUUAGCCCCUACCUCAGGAACACCAGAAAUAUGCCAGCAGUUGAGUCAAUUAACCCAAUACUUAUAGGGAUGGGGCAAACAAGUUAAUGCAUGGCCUUUUAAAGAUACAUACAACAAACUAUCAGAGAGCACACAAUAUACAUGGAAACUUGGGCAAAACAUAUGCAUUUUCAGAUCAGCUGAGCUUUUUCCAGCACCAGUUCUGAGCUCAUGCAUGAAAAAACCCGGUCUUGGCUAAAUCUACAAAACCUUACUUCCCUCUUUAAUAUACUAGCACAUCAUAGUUUCAUGUCAACUCAAAUAUUUGUCAAAUUCAUAUACAUGUACAACCAUUAAUUCCUUGGGAUUGAGGGAUGAAAUUAUUAUAUUUUAAAAUUAAAAGGCUCGUCUACAACCACAUUAUAAAUACUCGUGGCUUAUUUUCUAAAAAAUAGAGUACAUUCUACCAUUUAUUCCUAACAUUUUUUCAUGAAAUAUUUAAAAUAGUAAUGUGAAUUUUGAAAAAUGUAUAAAUACCUGUUUAUAGUCUGAUAAAUACGGAUGUUUGUUCUGGCUUGAAGUAUCGUUUUUGCCCACAUUUCGCGAGGUUUUAAUAGUUGUUUGUUGUCUUUCACGCUCCACGGAUGAGAAUUAACGUGUACAGCUUCCACGUCUUUGAACAAAUUGUCAACAGGCGAAAAAAUAUGUCGAAAAUAUCAAAACAACAAGGAUUCACUGCAAAUUGCAAAAAGCCGAAAUAUUUUUAUAAAAACCAGGGGGGAGUGAAAACUGUGGCGGGCUCAUAAUUGAGCCUUGUUCAGUGGCAAUUACCAUGAAUUUAGGGACCAGUAGUCAUGGAAAUGGCGUCAUUUUUCAUCAAAAUCCGCCAUUUUUUUGGCGACACUUCGUUGACUGAACGAAGUAUAGGAGCAGGUCCUCCAGUUAUUAUACAGCUCA